rnacentral:rRNA from 1 species
UGCCAGCAGCCGCGGUAAGACGAAGGUGGCAACCGUUGUUCGGAAUUACUGGGCAUAAAGCGCACGUAGGCGGGUGAGUAAGUCGGGUGUGAAAUCCCUCGGCCCAACCGAGGAACUGCGCCCGAUACUGCUUGUCUUGAGGACAGGAGAGGAGUGGGGAAUUUCUGGUGGAGCGGUGAAAUGCGUUGAUAUCAGAAGGAACACCGGCGGCGAAGGCGCCACUCUGGCCUGUUUCUGACGCUGAGGUGCGAAAGCCAGGGGAGCAAACGGGAUUAGAUA